GGGGAAUUAGCUCAGUUGGUAGAGCGCUCGCUUUGCAUGCGAGAUGUACCGGGAUCGAUACCCAGAUUCUCCA
rfam:Octopus bimaculoides Scaffold13237_contig_1, whole genome shotgun sequence.